rnacentral:rRNA from 1 species
GCAGGGAAUAUUGGACAAUGGGGGCAACCCUGAUCCAGCGACGCCGCGUGAGUGAUGAAGGCCUUCGGGUCGUAAAGCUCUGUUGCAGGGGAAGAACACAAUGACGGUACCCUGCUAGAAAGGAUCGGCUAACUUCGUGCCAGCAGCCGCGGUAAGACGAGGGAUCCUAGCGUUGUUCGGAAUUAUUGGGCGUAAAGCGGGUGCAGGUGGCUUGGUAAGUCAGAUGUGAAAGCCUGGGGCUUAACCCCAGAAGUGCAUUUGAUACUGCUGAGCUUGAGUGCUGGAGAGGCUAUUAGAAUUCCUGGUGUAGUGGUGAAAUACGUAGAUAUCAGGAGGAAUACCGGAGGCGAAGGCGGAUAGCUGGCCAGACACUGACACUCAGACCCGAAAGCGUGGGGAUCAAACAGGAUUAGAAACCCGGGUAGUCC